AUCUGGAACUGGAUCUCACCUUUCAUUUUAGGUGUUGUCUAUCCCUCUUCUAGACUGUGAAUCCUUAUCAUUAGAACAGCCUCUUCUUGGGACUAAGACCUAAGUUCUAUUCAGUAGGCCCAAGUUUCAAGGUUGGGAAGCACAAGUUCCACAAAUGAGAUACAUUCGUAUUUCUUUGAGAGGAGCCAAUCUACUCUGACCACAUGGAAUACAGAUGCAUGGAUUCCAGCUUUUGAGGCACUGAAUCAAAUAUAUGCCACUGUCCAAGACUCCAGGAGAAGACCAUGAGUGCUGGGAUAGAAGAGGGACUGAGGUAAUAACACAUCCAUGGGGACUGAAACUUUUAAAGCAGAAUUUGCAGGAGCUUCAGUUACACCAGGAUGAUUGAGAAGAGCCAAAGAGACGGUGCCAUCAUGGUGACAAAGAUUUUACCUCCUAAAUUUUGCUUCUUGAGCUAGAAGUGAUAAGUUUCAAUAAAUCACAGAGAUCGUGAGUUAC
rnacentral:lncRNA from 12 species